GUUUUUUGUUAAACUAUUGUAUUUACGUUUGCGAGAUACGCAGUACGACAAUGUACGAUGAUCAUAUUAUACAUUUAUGCAGAUUGCAGGUACCUACAUGACUACAUAACAAAGUUAUGUACUAACCACAGUUCAUAGUGGAACUAAAAGAAAUCUAAAAUAAUACAUAAGAACAUAUAGACAUUUUAAAUUCAAAUUUGGACAAAAUUACACAUUCUUAUAACGAUUAACGAUGUAACAAAAAACACAUAUAUCACGUUUUUAAUGUUUCUAUAAUGUAGUCUAUACAUAGAUUCGGAUUCGUUUUUCGUACACAACGAUUUACCUAUAUAGGCAUAAAUACCUAAUGGAAUUCAUCAAUUACAGUGACUCACACAGCACCAAAUCUACCGCCAGAGUGGUACUCCAUUUUUUUCUCGUAAAGUCAUGCGGGAAAAAUCCGCCGUCGCCUCACUGCAAUGUAAUACCUUCAGCCGUUUUUGUCGCGAAUCGUCUUGGACAGACAUCACAUGCCUGCUAUGGUAUUAAUCAUUUUAUGACGAGCGUAUCGCUGCUCGACCUUCGAAUUGGCGCAAAUGCUUCGCAGUUCACUGCAGUUUGCUAUAUAGAUUUUUUUAUAAAGGGGAAGAGUUUAAAAGUUUUCAAACAAAUCGGCUGUCGCAUUUUAUUAUUACCCGUAUCAAACAAUAAACAACAAUGUCGUGACGGUAUGUACUUAUAUCAUUAUGAUAUCUGAACUAAAUAUAAUGAAUAAUGAUGAACUUCAUUAUAUCAGAUAGUAAAAUCUCUCACUAUCAUCCUUGGAUAUUUUGCCCGCCCAAUGUUCGGAUUCACCAUGAAGGUUGUUUUAGUAAAUAUACAUUAUAUGCAUAAACAAAAGUUUUAAUUAUAUGUUCUUAUGAAUUUAAUGCAAAAAGUAAUUACUAUGAAAAUAUUUACUAGAAGAUUAGAAAUAAAACAAACUAGUGUGCUUGCUGACUGCUUAAGUAGACAUAAGUAUUUAGGAUAU